CGAAGGGUGCAAGCGUUACUCGGAAUUACUGGGCGUAAAGCGUGCGUAGGUGGUUUGUUAAGUCUGUCGUGAAAUCCCCGGGCUCAACCUGGGAAUGGCGAUGGAUACUGGCAAGCUAGAGUGAGGUAGAGGAGAGUGGAAUUCCCGGUGUAGCAGUGAAAUGCGUAGAGAUCGGGAGGAACAUCAGUUGCGAAGGCGGCUCUCUGGACCAUCACUGACACUGAGGCACGAAAGCGUGGGGAGCAAACAGGAUUAGAUACCCUGGUAGUCCACGCCCUAAACGAUGCGAACUGGACGUUGGGCUCAAUUAGGAGCUCAGUGUCGAAGCUAACGCGUUAAGUCGCCGCCUGGGGAGUACGGUCGCAAGACUG
rnacentral:rRNA from 1 species